GAUCAUGGCUCAGGAUGAACGCUAGCUACAGGCUUAACACAUGCAAGUCGGGGGGCAGCAUUGGAGUAGCAAUACUCAGAUGGCGACCGGCGCACGGGUGAGUAACACGUAUCCAACCUGCCGCUUACUCGGGGAUAGCCUUUCGAAAGAAAGAUUAAUACCCGAUGGUAUAAAGAGUUCGCAUGUUCUCUUUAUUAAAGAAUUUCGGUAAGCGAUGGGGAUGCGUUCCAUUAGAUAGUUGGCGGGGUAACGGCCCACCAAGUCUACGAUGGAUAGGGGUUCUGAGAGGAAGGUCCCCCACAUUGGAACUGAGACACGGUCCAAACUCCUACGGGAGGCAGCAGUGAGGAAUAUUGGUCAAUGGACGAGAGUCUGAACCAGCCAAGUAGCGUGAAGGAUGACUGCCCUAUGGGUUGUAAACUUCUUUUAUAAGGGAAUAAAGUGAGGGACGUGUCCCUUUUUGUAUGUACCUUAUGAAUAAGGAUCAGCUAACUCCGUGCCAGCAGCGGC
rnacentral:rRNA from 1 species